rnacentral:rRNA from 1 species
CAGUCGCCGCGGUAAUACGUAGGUGGCAAGCGUUGUCCGGAAUUAUUGGGCGUAAAGGGCUCGCAGGCGGUUUCUUAAGUCUGAUGUGAAAGCCCCCGGCUCAACCGGGGAGGGUCAUUGGAAACUGGGAAACUUGAGUGCAGAAGAGGAGAGUGGAAUUCCACGUGUAGCGGUGAAAUGCGUAGAGAUGCGGAGGAACACCAGUGGCGAAGGCGACUCUCUGGUCUGUAACUGACGCUGAGGAGCGAAAGCGUGGGGAGCGAACAGGAUUAGAUACCCCAGUAGUCCCUGUCUCUUAUCC